AAGCCAUGAUGUGGGCACAUUCUGAGGUAAGAUUGGUAUCUAUUCCAAGCAUCAUGAAGACUUUCAUCACUGAAUUGCUCAAAAGAAUUUAUCUUAUCUCUAUACUC
rfam:Brachypodium distachyon strain Bd21 chromosome 3, whole genome shotgun sequence.